CGGCACCGCUCUCUGAAGUCAGAGCCGCUGAAAGCGCUGUGGCUUUUUUUUUAUUUUCUUGUUACAUUUGUAGCAGCAAAAAAAUGGCGACUGUCAUUCAGAACCCUCUGAAAUCACUCGGAGAACAGUUCUACAAGGAAGCUAUUGAACAUUGUCGCAAUUACAAUGCCCGGCUGUGUGCCGAGCGCAGUGUCCGUCUCCCAUUUCUGGACUCGCAAACUGGCGUCGCUCAGAACAACUGUUAUAUCUGGAUGGAGAAGAGGCACAGAGGUCCAGGAUUGGCACCGGGACAGCUGUACACGUACCCGGCUCGCUGCUGGCGCAAGAAGAGACGCCUGCACCCCCCUGAGGAUCCCAGACUGAGGCUCUGCGAGAUAAAGCUUGAGGGGGAGAUCUCCUUAAAAAAGGACGGCGUGUCGUCUGAAGGAACUACGUUGGAAGCUCUACUACGUGGAGAGGGGCUGGAGAAAAGAAACGAUUCGAAGGAAGAUGAGACCCUCAAUGAAAUUCAAAGAGUUUUGGACAAUGACGAGAAUAUGGAUGACCUGGAGGAGGAAGAGUUGGAAGACGAUGUCCCGAAGCGUAAAAACAAGAACCGAGGACGGACACGUGGUGUGGGCAAUAAGAGGAAAAAUGAUACGACUGCCCAGGAAGACCAUGAUAAGCCGUAUGUGUGUGACAAUAGUUACAAACAAAAGCAUAACUCAAAAACAUCUGACAAAGUCUGCGGGAAGCGCUACAAGAACCGUCCUGGCCUCAGCUACCACUACGCUCACACCCAUCUCGCAGACGAGGAAGGAGACGAUGAGAGAGAUUCAGAGCCGCGCUCGCCACCAGCUCACAGAGGGGACGGCCACAAACCUCGGAAAGGUCCAGAUGGGAUGAUUAUUCCCAAUAAUUACUGCGAUUUCUGUUUGGGAGGAUCCAAUAUGAACAAGAAGACAGGCCGGGCCGAGGAGCUGGUCUCUUGCUCUGACUGCGGACGUUCCGCUUAUUUGGGCCGAGAUGUCGUAAAGGAGACGGACUUGUGCAGUGCAGAGGACUUGUUUGGUGCAUCGUCCGAAAGUGACGCUUCUACGUUUCAUGGCUUUGACGACGAUGAUUUCGAUGAACUGCUAUCAAACAAAGGCCUUAGUCCGCCUGCUAGUAACGAUGCAAAUAACAAUUGCAGCAGCUAAACACGCGAUUGGGGGAAUGAAUACCUGCUAGCACAAAGUAAGAUUUCGGGCGAGAUUUAAUGAAUGGCCUUGACAACAAUGGAGGCUUUUUGUAGCCAGAACCCUCAUGCUGAAUUCUUAGACCUGUGUUGUGCAUGAAACUGAGCAGAGUCGAUGCUUUUUAUCCGUUCAUCAGUAAACAAGAGUCUCUAACUGUCUGAAGACGAUCAGCAUUUUGACUUGUGAUUAUUAUUGUUUAAAGAAAGACAUUUGACUGGCCACCAUACCUUUUUUGAAUGAAUUAAUGAGUGGGGCACUCAAACAAAGGGAUUAUGAUGAACUGUGGGAGGUACCCACUGAGCUAAAUGGACUUCCCUUUACAAAAGUGCAAUGGCUUAAAGUCAACUAGAUCCUUCCUGUAGGCACGCUGUCCCGACUACCAUUCCAAUACACAUAACGUGGAACCUAUUCACCAUUGGAACAAGGUCUCAAGCCUGCGUUCUUCACCUCUUUGCACCUGCAACUCCAUGGUUUUCGUGGCAAUGACGUUCAUUGUACGAUGAACUGAAAGAAGCGGAGUUUUUUAAAAAAAAUCUAUAUAAUUUAUAUAUUAAAAAAAAAGCAAGCAAAACUGAGCCUGCCCUUUCAAGGGGACUUGUACCUUUUGGUUGGCUUAUGUGGUCAGCUGAAUUGUUCUCCCGCUGUUGAGUGCUAGGACAUUCCGGUUGCAUUUCGCGAAGAAACUACGUCAAUAGGCAAGUUCUGACGGGGAGGAAAAAAAAGUGAAAACAGCAUCUUUUUGGUCCUGUUAUAUUAAAAGGAGUUCAUCGGUUGCAUUGCAAGAGUAUCCUGGAUGCCGACGAUUACCACUCAAGCCGUUUCUAGGAAGAAAGGAAAUGAAAUGCCAGCCCCUGCUUUGCCAGUGGAGUUAUUGCUUGUCCACAGCCGCCUAGCAUCUCGUUAGUGUGACGCAGCCUCAGGAACGCACUGAGCCCGUGCAAUAUGAACGAAGAGAGACUUAUUAUUGUGAAAUAAAUUUUUAAACUCGAAAGGGAUCUCCAGCUGAGCUGGUCCACCCCCUCCCCCCCUCACCCCUGAUCUCUCGAUUUCUUUUUCCAAGUAACAAGACUGACCAGAAAUAAAUGGUUAAAUAAAAGGAAAGGUUAGAUAUUCCUUACAUUUGGGCAAUAUUUAAAAACGUGCUAAUGUAGUGCAAUUUUUGUUUCCCCCCCCACUGCCCUUGCUCCCUUCUAUUUUCUGUAAAUGUAUGUAUGUUUGUUUUCUUUUCUGAAAAGCGAACUUUAAUUGCCAACUUGGUUGUUUCUGAUGCUGAAUUUGGUAGCUAGUUUUUUUUUACUGAUGAACUGUUUAGACUCUGAAAUCAACUCUGCUCAACCUUGUUGUCAAAGCCAUUUAGUUCAAUCUCGGAAUUUAGGACUGAUUCCAAGUGGAUGUGGUAUGUGUCGGUCGGGUGUGUCAUUUGGCUGUUCUGGGAGUCUAGUGAUUACUUUCUAUUUAUUGAUUAGUUCGAUUGAAGUUUGCUGUACCCACGUGAUGAAGUAAGGUAUAUUGUCGCCAUCAAGGGAUGGUAUUGUUUUGUCGUACGAUAUUAAAGGUUAAAAACAAAAAGGUUCUUUAUAUAAACUGGAAAAAAAAAUUGCUGCUGAGAUUGAGAUGACGAAUUUUUAUUUGUAAGAAAAAAUAAACUGCGUAUUGGUCUCAAA